UACGAAGGGGGCUAGCGUUGUUCGGAAUCACUGGGCGUAAAGCGCACGUAGGCGGACUUUUAAGUCAGGGGUGAAAUCCCGAGGCUCAACCUCGGAACUGCCUUUGAUACUGGGAGUCUUGAGUGUGGUAGAGGUUGGUGGAACAGCAAGUGUAGAGGUGAAAUGCGUAGAUAUGUGGAGGAAUACCGAUGGCGAAGGCAGCCCCCUGGGUCAAGACUGACGCUCAUGCACGAAAGCGUGGGGAGCAAACAGG
rnacentral:rRNA from 1 species